rnacentral:rRNA from 1 species
AGACGGGACCCCGCACAAGCGGUGGAUCAUGUUGUUUAAUUCGAUGAUACGCGAAGAACCUUACCAGGUCUUGACAUCCCGAUGCUAUUUCUAGAGAUAGAAAGUUACUUCGGUACAUCGGUGACAGGUGGUGCAUGGUUGUCGUCAGCUCGUGUCGUGAGAUGUUGGGUUAAGUCCCGCAACGAGCGCAACCCCUAUUGUUAGUUGCCAUCAUUCAGUUGGGCACUCUAGCGAGACUGCCGGUAAUAAACCGGAGGAAGGUGGGGAUGACGUCAAAUCAUCAUGCCCCUUAUGACCUGGGCUACACACGUGCUACAAUGGUUGGUACAACGAGUUGCGAGUCGGUGACGGCGAGCUAAUCUCUUAAAGCCAAUCUCAGUUCGGAUUGUAGGCUGCAACUCGCCUACAUGGAGUCGGAAUCGCUAGUAAUCGCGGAUCAGCACGCCGCGGUGAAUACGUUCCCGGGCCUU